GCUUCUCGCAAGUCAAGGGGGCUAUCGACGAGGACGUGGCAGAAGUCUACAGACAUAAUCAUUGAGCGGAUUCGGGGACGGGGUUCUGAAGUGCCGCUUCUUCGCAGCACCGCGCUUCCCUCAUCCAGCUUCCCGGUUAUUUUUGCCCCACGAGUGGAUCUCCCUGCCUCCUGGGUCAUCUCAAGCCGCUCAUCUCCCUUCCGUCCUUUUUAUGAAUCGGCCGACGAGGAAGUCAUCCAGCCGUUAAACAUCGACUCCCAGAAAUGGACGCU